GCUAACUUAGCUCAGAGGUAGAGCUCUCGGCCGUUAACCGAGUGGUCAUAAGUUCGAUCCUUAUAGUUAGCG
rnacentral:tRNA from 1 species